rnacentral:rRNA from 1 species
UACGAAGGGGGCUAGCGUUGCUCGGAAUCACUGGGCGUAAAGGGUGCGUAGGCGGCGCGGUAAGUCGGGUGUGAAAUCUCGGGGCUUAACUCCGAAACUGCAUUCGAUACUGCCGUGCUUGAGGACUGGAGAGGAGACUGGAAUUUACGGUGUAGCGGUGAAAUGCGUAGAGAUGUGGAGGAACACCAGUGGCGAAGGCGACUCUUUGGUCUGUAACUGACGCUGAGGCGCGAAAGCGUGGGGAGCAAACAGG